rnacentral:rRNA from 2 species
UGGGGAAUAUUGCACAAUGGGCGCAAGCCUGAUGCAGCGAUGCCGCGUGGAGGAAGAAGGUUUUCGGAUUGUAAACUCCUGUCUUAAGGGACGAUAAUGACGGUACCUUAGGAGGAAGCUCCGGCUAACUACGUGCCAGCAGCCGCGGUAAUACGUAGGGAGCGAGCGUUGUCCGGAAUUACUGGGUGUAAAGGGAGCGUAGGCGGGAUUGCAAGUCAGAUGUGAAAUGUAUGGGCUUAACCCAUAAACUGCAUUUGAAACUGUAGUUCUUGAGUGAAGUAGAGGUAAGCGGAAUUCCUAGUGUAGCGGUGAAAUGCGUAGAUAUUAGGAGGAACAUCGGUGGCGAAGGCGGCUUACUGGGCUUUUACUGACGCUGAGGCUCGAAAGCGUGGGGAGCAAACAGG